UACGUAGGGGGCAAGCGUUGUUCGGAAUUACUGGGCGUAAAGGGCGCGUAGGCGGCACAGCAAGUCGGGAGUGAAAGCCCGGGGCUCAACCCCGGAAUGGCUUUCGAAACUGCUGAGCUAGAGUACAGAAGGGGCAACCGGAAUUCCCAGUGUAGCGGUGAAAUGCGUAGAUAUUGGGAAGAACACCUGAGGCGAAGGCGGGUUGCUGGGCUGAUACUGACGCUGAGCCGCGAAAGCCAGGGGAGCGAACGGG
rnacentral:rRNA from 1 species